rnacentral:tRNA from 1 species
GGGGUUGUGGCUCAGUGGUAGAGUGCUUGCCUAGCAUGCAUGAGGCACUGGGUUUGAUUCUCAACACCA